GGAAGUGUGGCCGAGUGGUUUAAGGCUCUAGUCUUGAAAACUAGCGUAGGGGGAACUCUACCGUGGGUUCGAAUCCCACCGCUUCCGCCA
rnacentral:tRNA from 1 species